AUUUCGAGCAGUUUCUACUGAGAAAUGGAACUCUUCGAAACUUGGGAUAAUAGGCCCGUCCUUCAACCCUUAUCUGCUUAAAUACAAGGUUUGGCUCCACAACCAAGUUUAUUCAGCUUUCCCUCAUUAUCUAUCAUUCUUGCAGAAACUGAGUCCCCUGAUGUGUAUAUUUGGGAAGAAUUUAUUUUUAGAACUGCUGUGCUAGAAUGGGAGGUUCUCUACAAUUUCACUUCUUCAGUUGCAACAUUUUGUUAAAGGUAAUAAACAUAACCGG